AGGAAUGUAUAGCAAUAGCUAGUUGCAUCAUUGUAAUGAUGAUGCAAUAUUGACUAUGUUGAAUAAAAUUCUAGGUAGAAUUAUGAUAAUGACAUUGUCUGCCUAUGUGUCUUGACCAAAUUACGUGCCAGCAGUCGCGGUAAUACGUAGAAGACUAGUGUUAUUCAUGUUUAAUCGGUUUAAAGGGUACCUAGACGGCAGAUCAAGCUUUCCGAGAAGAAAAAAAAAAAGGACUAAUUUGCUAGAGUUACUUACGAGGGGGCUUUAAAGUACUAAUGGUGUAGAGAUGAAAUUCUGUCAUACCUCUUUUCGAAAGAAAAAAUAUGGCACAGGUAUAGGCGAAGGCAUCCCCUUAUGUGAUAACUGACGUUGAGGGACGAAGGCUUUAUAUAAUGAACAGGAUUAGAUACCCCAGUAGUGGAAGCAGUAAAUGAUGAAUGUCAUAGAUUAGCUAGAUAGGUUCAUUCUAUAAAUGAAAGUGUAAGCAUUCCACCUCAUGAGUAAUUUGGCAACAUUGGAAUUGAAAUCAUUAGACCGUUUCUGAAACCAGUAGUGAAGUAUGUUGUUUAAUUUGAUAAUCCGCAAAAAACCUUACCACAAUUUGAAUAUUUAUAUUUUUUAUUGUUUUCUUAUUAAUUAUCUUCUCUUUACAAAGUAUAUUUAAUGCAGAGGCAAUAAUAUAUAUUUACAAGCGUUGCACGGCUGUCUUCAGUUAAUGUCGUGAGACUUUGGUUAGAUCCAUUAAAUUAACGUAAACCCUUACUUUAUUUUUAGAUAGAGUUGUUCUCCACUAUAUUGGAUAAGAU
rnacentral:rRNA from 1 species